rnacentral:miRNA from 1 species
CUCUCUCCCUCUCUAUGUGUAUAUAUGUAUAUGUAUAGGUAUAUUUAUACAUAUAUUUGAAUGAGGGCAAAAUUUAAAAAGGAGAUACUAAAACCACAGGCUACA